rnacentral:rRNA from 1 species
GUCGAGCGAACGGAUAAGGAGCUUGCUCCUUUGAAGUUAGCGGCGGACGGGUGAGUAACACGUGGGUAACCUACCUAUAAGACUGGAAUAACUUCGGGAAACCGGAGCUAAUGCCGGAUAACAUUUGGAACCGCAUGGUUCUAAAGUAAAAGAUGGUUUUGCUAUCACUUAUAGAUGGACCCGCGCCGUAUUAGCUAGUUGGUAAGGUAACGGCUUACCAAGGCAACGAUACGUAGCCGACCUGAGAGGGUGAUCGGCCACACUGGAACUGAGACACGGUCCAGACUCCUACGGGAGGCAGCAGUAGGGAAUCUUCCGCAAUGGACGAAAGUCUGACGGAGCAACGCCGCGUGAGUGAUGAAGGUUUUCGGAUCGUAAAACUCUGUUAUUAGGGAAGAACAAAUGUGUAAGUAACUGUGCACAUCUUGACGGUACCUAAUCAGAAAGCCACGGCUAACUACGUGCCAGCAGCCGCGGUAAUACGUAGGUGGCAAGCGUUAUCCGGAAUUAUUGGGCGUAAAGCGCGCGUAGGCGGUUUCUUAAGUCUGAUGUGAAAGCC